AUGGGCUCAAUAAAGGACAGAAAUGGUAUGGAUCUAACAGAAGCAGAAGAUAUUAAGAAGAGGUGGCAAGAAAACACAGAAGAACUGUACAAAAAAGAUCUUCACGACCCAGAUAAUCAUGAUGAUGUGAUCACUCAUCUAGAGCCAGACAUCUUGGGAAGUGAAGUCAACGGGGCCUUAGAAAGCAUCACUACAAACGAAGCUAGUGGAGGUGAUGGAGUUCCAGUUGAGCUGUUUCAAAUCCUGAAAGAUGAUUCUGUGAAAGUGCUGCAGUCAAUAUGCCAGCAAAUUUGGAAAAUGCAGCAGUGGCCAGACGACUGGAAAAGGUCAGUUUUCAUUCCAAUUCCAAAGAAAGGCAAUGCCAAAGAAUGCUCAAACUACCACACAAGUGCACUCAUCUCACACGCUAGUAAAGUAAUGAUCAAAAUUCUCCAAGCCAGGCCUCAGCAAUACAUGAACUGUGAACUCCCUGAUGUUCAAGCUGGUUUUAGAAAAGGCAGAGGAACCAGAGAUCAAAUUGCCAACAUCCACUGGAUCAGGGAAAAAGCAAGAGAGUUCCAGAAAAACAUCUAUUUCUGCUUUAUUGACUAUGCCAAAGCUUCUGACUAUGUGGAUCACAAUAAACUGUGGAAGAUUCUGAAAGAGAUGGGAAUACCAGACCACCUGACCUGCCUCUUGAGAAAUCUGUAUGCAGGCCAGGAAGCAACAGUUAGAACUGGACAUGAAACAACCGACUGGUUCCAAAUAGGAAAAGGAGUAAUUCAAGGAUGCAUAUUGUCACCCUGCUUAUUUAACUUCUAUGCAGAGUACAUGAUGAGAAACACUGGACUGGAAGAAACACAAGCUGGAAUCAAGAAUGCUGGGAGAAAUAUCAAUAACCUCAGAUAUGCACAUGACACCACCCUUAUGGCAGAAAGUAAAGAGGAGCUGAAAAGCCUCUUGAUGAAAGUGAAAGAGGAUAGCAGAAAAGUUGGCUUAAAGCUCAACAUUCAGAAAGCAAAGAUUAUGGCAUCUGGUCCCAUCACUUCAUGGGAAAUAGAUGGGGAAACAGUGGAAAUAGUGUCAGACUUUAUUUUGGGGGGCUCCAAAAUCACUGCAGAUGGUGAUUGCAGACAUGAAAUUAAAAGACACUUUCUCCUUGGAAGAAAAGUUUUGACCAACCUAGAUAGUAUGUUCAAAAGCAGAGACAUUACUUUGCCGACUAAGGUCCAUCUAGUCAAGGCUAUGGUUUUUCCUGUGGUCAUGUAUGGAUGUGAGAUUUGGACUGUGAAGAAGGCUGAGCACCGAAAAAUUGAUGCUUUUGAACUGUGGUGUUGGAGAAGACUCUUGAGAGUCCCUUGGACUGCAAGGAGAUCCAAUCAGUCCAUUCUGAAGGAGAUAGACCCUGGGAUUUCUUUGGGAGGAAUGAUGCUAAAGCUGAGACUCCAGUACUUUGGCCACCUCAUGCGAAGAGUUGACUCAUUGGAAAAAACUGAUGCUGGGAGGAUUUGGGGGCAGGAGGAGAAGGGGACGACCCAGGAUGAGAUGGCUGAAUGGCAUUACAGACUUGAGGGACGUGAGUCUGAGUGA
rnacentral:lncRNA from 1 species